rnacentral:sRNA from 1 species
AAACGACCAGAAUCCAGGUUCCCAGUUCAGCCAGGCCCUGGCCAUCCGGAGCUAUACCAAGUUCGUGAUGGGGGUAAGUUGUGCCAGCUGUCCUUCCUUCCCACUGCCUUGCGGACCCAAGUGGGGCCUAGGAGGCCAACCCUGGUAAUGGCUGGAGGCAGGUCUUGGUACAGGGUGUUGGCGUGGUGUGUCCCUGCUCCCUGGGCCGGGGUGGGUCACUGGCACUCAGGCCUCUCUGGGUUUCAGAUUGCAGUGAGCAUGCUGACCUACCCCUUCCUGCUAGUUGGCGACCUCAUGGCUGUGAACAACUGCGGGCUGCAAGCUGGGCUCCCCCCUUACUCCCCGGUGUUCAAAUCCUGGAUUCACUGCUGGA